UACAGAGGUCUCAAGCGUUGUUCGGAUUCAUUGGGCGUAAAGGGUGUGUAGGUGGCGCGCUAAGUCGGGUGUGAAAUUUCGGAGCUUAACUCCGAAACUGCAUUCGAUACUGGCGUGCUUGAGGACUGGAGAGGAGACUGGAAUUCAUGGUGUAGCAGUGAAAUGCGUAGAGAUCAUGAGGAACACCAGUGGCGAAGGCGAGUCUCUGGACAUUUCCUGACGCUGAGGCACGAAAGCCAGGGGAGCAAACGGG
rnacentral:rRNA from 1 species